GACGAACGCUGGCGGCGUGCCUAAUACAUGCAAGUCGAGCGGACUUUAUCCUUCGGGGUAAGGUUAGCGGCGGACGGGUGAGUAACACGUAGGCAACCUGCCUGUAAGACCGGGCUAACAUUCGGAAACGGAUGCUAAUACCGGAUAUGCAACUUGGCUGCAUGGCUGAGUUGGGAAAGACGGCGCAAGCUGUCACUUACAGAUGGGCCUGCGGUGCAUUAGCUAGUUGGUGAGGGAACGGCUCACCAAGGCGACGAUGCAUAGCCGACCUGGGAGGGUGAUCGGCCACACUGGGACUGAGACACGGCCCAGACUCCUACGGGAGGCAGCAGUAGGGAAUCUUCCGCAAUGGACGAAAGUCUGACGGAGCAACGCCGCGUGAGUGAUGAAGGUUUUCGGAUCGUAAAGCUCUGUUGCCAGGGAAGAACAGCCAGGAGAGUAACUGCUCUUGGAAUGACGGUACCUGAGAAGAAAGCCCCGGCUAACUACGUGCCAGCAGCCGCCGUAA
rnacentral:rRNA from 1 species